GACAGAGGUGCCGAGCGUUAGGCGGAAUCACUGGGCUUAAAGCGUGUGUAGGCGGAUCUGUAAGUACCUUGUGAAAUCCCACGGCUCAACCGUGGAACUGCUGGGUAUACUGCGGAUCUUGAGCCACCUAGGGGCGAGCGGAACAAGUGGUGGAGCGGUGAAAUGCGUAGAUAUCACUUGGAACGCCAAUGGUGAAAACAGCUCGCUGGGGGUGUGCUGACGCUGAGGUGCGAAAGCGUGGGGAGCAAACAGG
rnacentral:rRNA from 1 species